AAUUAGGUGAGUGAGUCUUUGAGUUAUUUCUGUGGACUUUGUCAGAUGGUCUCUGUCUGCCCUCUUACUCACUGUGAAACCCUUCAGCUUAGUUGACUCAGCUUUUAGGGUUAUUGCCUUGGCACAUCAUUUUGCCUAAAAUUGACCUUGCAUUCUUUCUGCUUAGUUUUUAUGCGAGGAUGUUGGACCAGGUGGCGCAUUGAUCCCUGCCAGUCCAGGCGACAGUGACACUGGAGUGCGGGCACUGGCUCGCGUUUCGUUUUUGUGCUGGCCGUUCCUGUUGGAUGGGUUAAGACCUAGUUCCCUGGGAAGUACUAUCUAGAGUAUCCUUUGAAACAGUUCUGGGUUCGAGUGACUUGAGAAGAAAAUCCUCCCAGUGGGACAUAGACGGAAGCACUUUGCUGGAAGAAGGAGAGUCGUUCAUGCAGCACUGGGGCACCUGUGAGUGUUGGACAGAACGCUCGGAACAGAUUACGUUUUACAUCAAUACAAGAAUCUUAUUCUUAAAGGACGUUGGAACUCUGGAAAUGGCUCAAGUUGCGAAUGCUUUCCGCGGUUGCUCAGAUUAUCGGCUUGUGGCAUUCCUGUGUUAAGCCGUCCAUGAGCCAGGCUGUGGGUUCCCCUGUGACCUCAGCUAGGCAGCCCUGGUCUGCUGUUGGCCUUCUGGAUGGAGAACCACCCUCCGGCAUCGGCACCCUAAUGAUGUUGAUGGCUCCAUCUGAAACAAAACUGCCUUCUAGAUCAGCUCUGUUCUCUUCCUGAAAGCCUAACUGCUGAGUUUUAGAGCAACGCAGGAAGAAAACCUGAAUGGCCAGACAGAAGGAACCCCACACCAGAAUGAUUUUUAUUCGCAGAUGCUCUUGCAUCCUUGUGUUAACAUAACCCUGGAAAAUGGAUUGAUGUUGCCUUAUGACUUUGGAAGAUAUGUAUUAUUUAUUAUAAGAAACAACUACUUUAUUAUAGGAACAAAAUAAUAGUAUUUAUCACAAUGCAUUUGUCAUAUACCCUUGGAAUUUCUGUGAGUAACCACCUUAUCUGUGUGUUUCACAGAAUUGAUGUUUGUCCUUAAGAGGGUGUAUCUCAACCCACAGACCAUCCCAGUUAUGACUUGGGUGUGUGUGUGCAACGGUGUAGUACCAAGUGCAUCCAUGUUUACUCUCCAGAGAGCUCACACCAGCCUGCUUCCUAGACUGUGCAGAGAAAGAGAGAUCAUAAUAUGCUUAAUGUGACUUUCCAGUAUAUGCGAUACAGAGUUGAAUUAGUUAGCUAUAACAAUCUUAUGUUUUAUAUUAAAUUCCUUGUUACCCUCCUGGAAGGGAGUUUGACUAUAGCAAAAACUGUAACAAGUGAUCAUCAAAGAAGUGUUUAUAAAUUGAUUAUUACUUCCUAGUAAGUGUUAAUCACAACACGGUACCUCAAAAAUCUAUGAGAUGCAGCUACACCAUGCUUAGAAAUUUAUAGCUGCAAAUACUCUGUUAAAGAGAUUUUAAAUCAAUAGUCUAAGAUUCUACCUUAAAAAAAUUAGAAAAAGAGAAGCAACAGAAGUCCAAAGGAAACAGAAAGAAAAAAUAAAGAUUAGUAUGGAAAUCAGUGAAAUAGGAAACAAAAACAAUGUGGAAGAAUCAACGAAACCAAUAGCUGGGUCUUCAAAAAGAUCCACAAGUUUGGCAUACUUUGAGCUACAGUGACAGAGAAGACAUGAAUUGCCAUUACCAAGAACAAAAGAGGGGACAUUACUAACAACCUUACAGAAGUUAGGGUUGUAAAUAAAUGCUGUGUACAACUUCAUGCCAACACACUGGACAAGUCAAGUGAGAUGGAAAAAUCUUAGACACAAGCUACCAAGAUGUAGUCAAGAAGAAAUGAAGAGGGUUUUAGUAGGCCUUUAACAAAUUGAAACAAAGCCAAGGGCCAGGGCAGAUGGCUUCACUGGUGAAUGCCACCAAAUGUUGACAGAAGAAAUCAUGCCAAUCUUUUCACAGAUUUAGAAAAUAGAAGAGGGGUAUACUUAACUAGCUGUGUGCUCUGAGGCUCCUAUUAGCCUGAUAGUAGGGCGAGACAAAAAUGUAAUGAGAAUAUUGUGGACCGGUAUCCUUCAUGAAUUCUGAGUAUAGCUACAGAAACUUCAUCAACUCUAGUGACACACAGGCACAUCUCUGAGAUACUGCAGGUUGCUUUCCAGAAGCCAAUGUCACAAUAAAGCGAAUCAAAUGAA